rnacentral:misc_RNA from 1 species
UACUUUCCUAGCCACCAAUGUAAACCUAAGACUCUAGCAGCAAUUCAUGCGUGAGCAAGAGGAAGGGAAUGGAGAGGAAAUAUGGCAUCAGAUACUUGAAGAAAUGGAAGAAGUGGAUGAGCAAGGAAAAUUAAUGUUGUCAAUACAUGUUGUGGAAUGUAGUGAUGGAGUACAAACAAUUAGAAUGUUGGGGGUUCAUAAAAGUAAGGAAAUAAUAAUAUUGAUAGACACUGGCAG